UACAGAGGGUGCGAGCGUUGUCCGGAAUCACUGGGCGUAAGCGUCUGUAGGUGGCUUUUAAGUCCGCCGUCAAAUCCCAGGGCUCAACCCUGGACAGGCGGUGGAAACUACCAAGCUGGAGUACGGUAGGGGCAGAGGGAAUUUCCGGUGAGCGUGAAUGCGUAGAGAUCGGAAGAACACCAACGGCGAAAGCACUCUGCUGGCCGACACUGACACUGAGAGACGAAGCUAGGGAGCGAAUGG
rnacentral:rRNA from 1 species